rnacentral:lncRNA from 1 species
CAAGCUUAUCCAACAUGGUGAGAUUUUAACUUAACCAAACACAAAAGAGCGCAUUCAGGUAUGACUUUAUCUCUCUAAUUUUGUGUAAGUUCUACUGAUACAACAUAAUACAAAGACACACACUGAGGCACGUUGUUUGUUUUCACCCUUUUAGCCUUUCUAGCCAUCCAUAAUGUUGUAUUCAUCCGUUGUUAACCCCGUUGAGCCUGUACCCCCUUGUUUGUGUAAACUGUCAUGUUAACCAUAAGCCAAACACUUCCUACCCUCG